CGGAUCUUUAGUACGAAAGGACUUAGAUCUAUGCUCCUAUGGUGUACCAAUUGUUGGCACAAAAGCUGGCAUCGUUGGGUAGCUACGAGCACAAAGGAUAAACACUGAAAGCAUAUAAGUGAUUGAAGCCUGCCAGUGGCGAUUAUAUUAGGCAAGAAGUAGACUACUUCUAGAUAGGUCACAUGUGUAAGCACCGUAAGGUGUGUUAGCUUAGUGAUACUAAUUAGCCAUAUUACUUACACCU
rnacentral:ncRNA from 1 species